UGGUAGGACUUACUGCCCAAGAGGAUG
rnacentral:piRNA from 1 species